CCUACGGGAGGCAGCAGUAGGGAAUUUUCGUCAAUGGGGGUAACCCUGACCGAGCAACGCCGCGUGAAGGAAGAAGGAAUUCGUUCUGUAAACUUCUGUUAUAAAGGAAGAAAGACGGAUGGAGGAAAUGACAUCCGAGUGACGGUACUAUAUGAGAAAGCCACGGUUAACUACGUGCAAGCAGCCGCGGUAAUACGUAGGUGGCAAGCGUUAUCGAGAAUUAUUGGGCGAAAAGAGGGAGAGGGCGGCAGCAAAGGUCUGUGGUGAAAGACGGAAGCUUAACUUCAGUAAGCCAUAGAAACUGGGCAGCUAGAGUGCAGGAGAGGAUCGUGGAAUGCGAUGUGUAGCGGUGAAAUGCGUAGAUAUAUGGAGGAACACCAGUGGCGAAGGCGACGAUCUGGCCUGCAACUGACGCUCAGUCCCGAAAGCGUGGGGAGCAAAUAGGAUUAGAUACCCCAGUAGUC
rnacentral:rRNA from 1 species